GAUCUGUUAGCUCAGCUGGGAGAGCACCAUCUUGACAGGGUGGGGGUCGGCGGUUCGAGCCCGUCACAGGUCA
rnacentral:tRNA from 1 species